rnacentral:misc_RNA from 1 species
AAAAUGCGAUACGCAAUGCGAAUUGCAGAAUUCCGCGAAUCAUCAGAUUCUUGAACGCAACUGGCGCUGAAGGGAUAUCCUUUCAGCAUGUCUGUUUCAGUGUCUCAUAACCUCACAUUCAACCAUAGUGUGUUUGACAAGGAUGAUGUGUAUUACAUCUUCCAAGUCUUACAUGAAAGAUGUAUGUGUGGAUCUUUAGAUCCAUCGAAUUUGUCACUGCUUUCUUAUUCAGUGAUUUCGAUAGGAAUUUCUAAUUAUCUGAAAACACAUAGAAAUUAGUUUUUUCUAUAUUUAUCUGCAUCUGAAAUCAGGCAAGAACACCCGCUGAACUUAA